rnacentral:tRNA from 1 species
AGGAUUAUAGUUAAUUAUAACAUUUGAUUUGCAAUCAAAAAGUAUUGAAUACUCAAUUUUUCUUU